UGAGGAAUAUUGGGCAAUGCCCGAAAGGGUGACCCAGCAACGCCGCGUGGAGGAUGAAGGUCGUAAGAUUGUAAACUCCUGUUAGAGGGGAAGAAUAACUAAGUUUGGAGCUUAGUAUGACUGUACCUUCAGAGAAAGCCCCGGCUAACUACGUGCCAGCAGCCGCGGUAAUACGUAGGGGGCAAGCGUUGUCCGGAUUUACUGGGUGUAAAGGGCGCGCAGGCGGAAUGGAAAGUCAGUGGUGAAAUCCUACAGCUUAACUGUAGAACUGCCUUUGAUACUUUCAUUCUUGAGUUCGGGAGAGGGCGACGGAAUUCCAGGUGUAGUGGUGAAAUUCGUAGAUAUCUGGAAGAACACCAGUUGCGAAGGCGGUCUCUUGGUCCGAUACUGACGCUGAGGCGCGAAAGCGUGGGGAGCAAACA
rnacentral:rRNA from 1 species